UUCAGGCACUAGAAAAGGAACACUGUUGCACUAUUGAAGCUUGCCACGUAGUCGCAACCCCGAGAAGACAUGGUAGCGGCACCAUCUCGAUUUCCAAAAUUAAACUUUUGACUGAAAUUGGAAAGUAAGGCAUCUUACACAUAUUUAAGAGCUUUUUUGAAAGCAUUUAGAGGGAGGGACGAUAACAGCUUUUCUAGGGAAUUGGAGCUAUGAAUCAAU
rnacentral:lncRNA from 1 species